AACUUUAACCAGUAGACAAAUCUGUAUCCCACAGAUGGUCAGCUGGUUAAAGUUCU
rnacentral:pre_miRNA from 1 species